GAAAGAAGCAAAAAAAUUGGCGAAAAGUGAUAGAAUCCAAAAAAACGGGGAUUAAAUUGGCCAUUGAUGGAAGUUGGAGGCCAAGGCAUACAAGUCAAAAAGUGGAGGAUUUGAGAUGCAAUUAUUCAGGGACCAAAGCUGAAAAUUUUCCUAGGUUUUACUAUUAAAAACCAUGCAAAUCCUUGGAGAAGAAGGAAGGGCCGAGAGAAAGAAAAAAAGAGAAAAACGGCUGCUGCUGACUAAUAUACAUACAAACCUACAGCAAGAAGAGAAAUUGGCUGCUGGGAUACAUACAUAAACUUGGGCAGCGGCUGAUACACAUCACACGGCUGAGGGAGGAGAGUUUACCUAGAGAAACUACUACAGCCGGAGGAAGAAAACCGAGAGAAGAGGAAGUAGGUGGCUGCUUGUGAGUUCAAACAUUGGGCUGAAUUUAUUAUUUUUGAUAAACUAAAUUGGUGGCUGAAAAGGAGAGAAGGAGGCUGCUUGAGGUUGAAUUAAUUGGGGACAAUUCGGCUACCUUGGUGAGAAUAUAGGCAAAAACGGUGGGCAGCUGCUGGAGUUAAAAAGAUACACAACUGGCCGGCUGGAAAGAAUUAUUACUUGCAAAUUUGGAAUAAAAUUGGCUGCUGCCCAAAGAAAAAAAUGCUGCUGGUCUUUUAUCAUAUAUAUACAUAGGCUGCCUAUAUGUAUAAUUGCAUGGAUUUGGGCUGAUUUUUAUAUAUAUACUGCACACACAAGUUGACAGCAUACUGGAGGAAAGAUUUGAGUGCCAACCGGGGAUUACAACCACGUUGUCGACGGAAACUGCAGAGAAUAUUUGCCGGCAGCUUGCUGAUUUUUAUAUAGAAACAACACACAUAAUUGGGCCAAAGAUAUAUUGAAAAACGGCUGCUUGGGGGAAAUCAACAUACACGUGCAAAAGUCGAGCAAAUUCGUGGACUCAAUCAUGUCCCGUCGAUUUUUGGUGACUUCCUUCCACUUUUCUUUGUUUAAUUCCAAUAUUAUGCUAGUCUAAUUUUCUCAUGUAUUGGAUGGAUGACAAAAUUGUUUAAUUUUUAGU
rnacentral:lncRNA from 1 species